GAAAUAUUACGAUGGACAUAUGUAAACAUUGAAUUUGUUCUCCUAAUUUCUCGUACUGCUCCUCAGUAUUCUUUUCAACGUAGUUCUUGUCUAUUUGAUAUGAUGCCCUAGUGCGGAGAAUACAUUUCCACUGUCUGCUGAUUCUGGUUGCAAACUUCACUGAUAUGUGUUGUCAUGCAGAUUGUUAAUCAACGUGAAGCUG
rnacentral:misc_RNA from 1 species